GGGGGUCAAAUUCGCCCUAUCAAAGAAUGGAAGGUGUAUGAUCGCAGAUGAGAUGGGUCUAGGGAAGACAAUGCAGGCUAUCUCUGUGGCCUACGCCUACAGACAGGAGUGGCCUCUGCUCAUCGUGGUGCCCUCCUCUCUAAAGUACCCCUGGAUCGAGGAGUUGGAGAGGUGGAUCCCUGAGCUCAACCCUGGAGAUAUUAACCUGGUGGAGACCAAGAGUGAC